rnacentral:rRNA from 1 species
CAUGCAAGUCGAACGAGGAUAUAUCCUUCGGGAUAUAAGCCGAGUGGCACAAGGGUGAGCAAUGCAUAGAUUACCUACCUUUAGGAUAAGGACAACUUUGUGAAAACGGAGCUAAUACUUAAUAAUACAAAAGAAAAUAAUUUUCUUCUGUCAAAGGGAGGGUAGCAAUACCUUUCGCUUAGAGAGGGGUUUAUGUCCUAUCAGCUUGUUGGUGGGGUAAUAGCCUACCAAGGCGAAGGCGGGUAGCCGGUUUAAGAGGAUGGUCGGCCACACUGGGACUGAGACACUGCCCAGACUUCUACGGAAGGCUGCAGUCGAGAAUCUUUCGCAAUGCCCGAAAGGGUGACGAAGCGACGCCGCGUGGGUGAAGAAGGCCUUCGGGUUGUAAAACCCUGUCAGGAGUUAUGAAAUGUAAGUGCGCUAAUAUCGUGCUUAUUUGACAAAGGCUCCAAAGGAAGCCACGGCUAACUCUGUGCCAGCAGCCGCGGUAAUACAGAGGUGGCGAGCGUUGUUCGGAAUUAUUGGGCGUAAAGAGCACGUAGGUGGGUUUGCAAGUCAGAUGUGAAAGCCUUCUGUUCAACGGGAGAAUUGCAUCUGAAACUGCUAAUCUUGAGUAUAGGAGGGGAGAAUGGAACUUCUGGUGGAGCGGUGAAAUGCGUAGAUAUCAGAAGGAACGCCGGCGGCGAAAGCGAUUCUCUGGCCUAUUACUGACACUCAGUGUGCGAAAGCUAGGGGAGCAAACGGGAUUAGAUACCCCGGUAGUCCUAGCCGUAAACGAUGGGCACUAAGUAGAGGGGAUUACCUAUGUUCUCUCUGCCGUAGCUAACGCAUUAAGUGCCCCGCCUGGGGAGUACGGCCGCAAGGCUAAAACUCAAAAGAAUUGACGGGGGGCUCGCACAAGCGGUGGAGCAUGUGGCUUAAUUCGAUGCAACGCGAAAAACCUUACCGGGGCUUGACAUGAUAGAAGUAGGAACCCGAAAGGGGGACGAACGAUAUCCAGUCCGUAGCUAUUACAGGUGUUGCAUGGCUGUCGUCAGCUCGUGUCGUGAGACGUUGGGUUAAGUCCCCUAACGAGCGAAACCCUUGUUUUUAGUUACCAGCGGGUUAUGCCGGGUACCCUGGAAAGACUGCCGUCGUCAAGACGGAGGAAGGUGGGGAUGACGUCAAGUCAUCAUGGCCCUUAUGCCCCGGGCUGCACACGUGCUACAAUGGUCGGUACAGACGGAAGCGAAGCCGAGAGGUGAAGCGAAUCCUAAAAAGCCGAUCUCAGUUCGGAUUGGAGGCUGAAAUUCGCCUCCAUGAAGUUGGAAUCGCUAGUAAUCGCGGAUCAGCAAUGCCGCGGUGAAUAUGUUCCCGAGCCUUGUACACACCGCCCGUCAAGCCACCCAAGCAGGAUGCACCCGAAAACAUUAUAUCUAACCAGGGCAACUUGGAGGAAAAUGUUGAAGGAGUGUUUUGCGAGGAGGACUAAGUCGUAACAAGGUAGUCGUAGGAGAACCUGCGGCUGGAUCACCUCCUUUCU